CUCACGGCCCCGCACCUACCUCGUUUGGGUCGGGUCUGUACAGCCCCGCCUCUUGCUCCCGCCCCUCCUUCGUUCGGCCUCGCCCCUCCUGCGCCCGCCCCCUUCUGUCCACGAGCUGGAGGCUGUGUACUUAUGGCUUCUUGCUCCUUUGCGUCCUGCAGCAGGCUGAGUCCCUCGCCUGAUUCCACUCUUUGAGGGUAAAGGUUUGGAGCCGAGUUUUCACCUGCGCGAAACACAGAUCCAGGAAUAAACGCAUUCAUCUCAAAGUCAGCUCCGGGUCCCCGGACAUGGCUGGCUGGUCCACACAGACGCCAUAUCGAAGGAAGUGUUUUCCCUUUAAUUUUAGUCUUUGCCCUUUCUACAGAUGGUUUAAAAGCAAUGAAAAUGCGCCUCCCCUAUCUGCUCCAUGCAGAUCCUUCGAGACAGAGCCCAGAAUCAGAACUUUGGCAAACCAAACCUCAGGUGAGACUACAGGGACAAGUUUGCACACGUAUUAUCAUUCUUUUAUUAUUGUUGUUAUUGCAAUUGUGAAGAUGGAACCCCGGUCCUCAAAAAUGAUAAGCACAGCCUCUUCCACUGAGCUAUACCCUGGAGCCUGAUGCCCUCAAGCCUUCUGUACAGAGUGCCUUGGGACCCUGGAAACCUGCCUGCUGCCUAUCUGUAAUGGAAAUUAUCUCUUGCAAACCCUUGUCCCCUUUAUGGGGUUAUGAAUCCAUACAAAUAUUCUCAGAAGAAACAAGUCAAAGGUCACUGGACGCUGAGUGGCUACCUGGAGCCUCAGUUUCUUCAUUGCCUUUUGAGGAUGGAGGAAAGAAGCUUGAGACACAUUCAGAGGAGAAGCCAUCAGCCACCUGGACCAUGCCAAAACAGAAGCUGCCUCCCGCUCCUACAGAGUAUGUGUACCAGCUUGUCUGGGUUUUGAUUGACGGGGGAACGUUUUCCUGACUGGCAAAUAUUUGUGUUCCCGAGUUGGCUGUGCUUCGCUUCCUGGUUUGCACAGUCUCUAAAAGAGCAAAGGCAGUAUACAGAGAGGAUGGCGAUAGGAGACAGACAGGAGGCUGGUAGGAGAACAGCUAGUUCCAUGCCUCUUCCUGUAAGACGGGGACAGUGCUGCUGAGUGGCCGGACACUGGGCUUCUGGGGCAGAGGAUGAGGGUACCUGCGCCCUACAGGAUGCUUCAACGUGUCUCUCUGGCAGAGAGUUUAUAACACCCAAAAGCAGGUGUGACCAACUUCUGGCAGCAGAUACACAGAGGGAGAAAGGGUGGCUACCCCACACCAAGGGUAAGACUCAACCCAAGCAGCUACUCCAAUAGGGCACAGAUAAAACUCCAAAGAUGAUACCUGCUGGGCACAGGCCUCCAAUCCCAGCACACUGGAGGUGCUGCUGCUGGUGUGUGUGUGUGUGUCCAUCCAGUCUAGUCUCCCCCAGUCCUCCCACCCUCCCACCCCUACUCAGACCCAUUGUGCAUCAAGCUGGGCUGGAGGGAGGGAAGCUUAACAUGCACAGAAAAUUAUAAAAGCCAGACUCAGAAGUCUGGGCGGCGUGAUUCUCUUCAACCAUGCAUCCACCAACACGCAGGUCCCUAGCAACAGAAAGAUCUGCAGUUGCCCAGGAGGAAGGGGAGAUGGGAGACUGUUCGCAGUACUCACUCUUCCUUGGAGGUUCUGGGUAAAGAUUCCACCAGUCUGUGAGUUUGCCAAAGUCACUGAAUUACAUGUGCUCAAAAUCCAGUGGUUUUUGCUUUUUUUUGUUGUUUUUGUUUUUCUGUUUUUUGAGACAGGGUUUUCUUCAUAUGGCCCUGGCUGUCCAGGAAUUCGAUCUGUAGAUCAGACUGGCCUUGAACUCAAGAGAUCCUCCUACCUCGGUCUCUCAAGUCUUGGGAGUAAAAGUGUAUGCCACCAUGCCAUCUGAUGGGUCCCAGGUUCCCUGAACACUAAGAAGCUCAGAGAUCAACACACACACACACACACACACACACACACACACACACACACACACCGCCCCAGCACCCAGGGGAUGAACAGACAGGAAGGGCAAAGAAAGCAGAGACAGUGGGGCCAUGGUGUGUAUGUGUCGGGGAGGGGGGAAAUAACAAAAGCAGCUUGGGAGAGAACAGUUUACUUCAGCCCACAGUUCCAGGCUACAAACCCUCGCUGCAGGGAAGUCAAAGCAGGAGUGUAGACAGCUGACCUCACGCCGCUGACAAGAACAGAGAGCGGGCAUGCAGUCUGAUUAGCGCCCAGUCCGCCUUCUCCUCUUUUACAGACCAAAGCUGCACCCCUGGGAAUGGCUACACGGGCUUUGAAUCUGCAUCUGUGCAUAGCGAUGGAGACAGUCUCCCACAGGCCUCCCUGAUGUAGCCCACCCCCCACUGAGACCGAAACAUUGUAUCAAGAUGACAAUUGGCACUAGCAGCCUCCAGAUUACCUAAAGUGGAUACUUAGGACCCCACAUCAUUAUUUAGUGCUUUAGGGGGAAAAAAAACCCCUACCUACCUCAGGGGCCUAGGAUGCCUCACAAGGCCAAAGGUUAGAGGUAGAGGCAUUGGUGUGAUUUUGUAUCUGGUUAAUAGAUAGGACCUUGAGAUAUCUGGCUCAGUGGCUAGAAUUCUCAGAGCCCCAGGUGCAAUACCUGGUACUGCAAAACAGAAAAAGAAAAAGAAAAAAAAAAGGGGGGGGGCUUAUUGGUUUACUGGCCUAGAGAAAUAAUUUUGUUUUGUUUUGUGGGUCUUUUAAAGGUGUGUGUGUCUGUGUGUCUGUGUGUGUGUGCCUGUGUCUGUGUCUGUGAGUGUAAUGUCCAAGGAAGCCAGCAGGCGAGGCUGAGUCUCUGAGAAGUGGAGUUAGCAGUGGUUGCCAGCUGUCUGUCUGAUGUGGGUGCUGUAGCUGAACCUCUGCACCAGCAGCAGAUGCUUGGAACACUGACCAACCCCAACAGCCUUUGGUUGGUGUUCUUAUAUUCUGAGACUGCAGGCGCACACACCACACCAAACCCAGUUUGCUUUGUUUUUAACUAAAGAAUAAUAAUUGGAAGCUGGAGAGAUGGUUCAGUGAUUAAGAGCCCUGGCUGCUCUUUUAGAGGUCCUGAGUUCAAUUCCCAGCUCCCACAUGGCAGCUCACAAGUGUAGACCCAUGGGAUCCCAUGGCCUCUUCUGGUGUAGAAAUAUAUAUGCAGACAAAACACUGCUAUACAUAAAAUACAUAAUACAAAUACAUCUUUUGAUAGUUAUUUGUUAAAAAAAAACUGUGUAAGAGAGGUGGAUGUGGAGGGGGUCUAAAGGGGUCAUCCUUAACUACAUAGCCAGUUUGAAGAUAGCCUGGGCUACAGCAGACCCAGUCUCAAAACCAAACAGUUGUAUUGUACAUGGUACUACACAUGUUUAAUCCCACUUCUCAAGAUGCAGAGUCAGGCAGAUUUCUGAAUUUGAGGCCAGCCUGGUCUACAGAGCAAGCUCCAGGACAGCCAGGGCUACACAGAGGGGGGAAAAAAAAAAUAAAGGAAACAAAAAACCAAAACAAAACAACAAAUUCACAAAUGCCUGUGCUGGAGAGACGGUUCACGCGCUCUUGCAGAGGACCCAGGUGUGCUUCCCAGCACCCACAUCAGAGAGCUCACAACUCUCCAUAACUAUUGUCCCCGGGGGUCAGUGCCCUCUACUGGCCAUUGAGUGUACUGCAAGCAUGUGAUGCAUAGACAAGCAGGCAAUGUACAUACGUAAGUAGAAAUUUAAAUAUCUACUUAAAAUAUUCAUUUUACACAUUUACUUGUUGAGUCCAAUAUGCUAGCUUGAUAUAUCCAGAUAUAGUCCAUAUCUAUAGCUAAUACACACACACACACACACACACACACACAUAUGUUAGAAUGAUCCUAAUUAACAUCUACCCUCUCAAAAUACAGGUCAUUCCCUGUCAUGAGGAUAUCCAAGUUCUGCUAUCUGGAUUGGGACAGAGCAGGUACUUUCCAUGAACAGGGCCUUGGGCUCUAAACACAGGGCCCAAGGGCUCAGAGCGGCCCCAUGCUCUAGCUGUCUUGAAGCAUUAUAUGGGUGUGGAUUUGUUUAAUUUGAAAGAGCCUUCCCUGAACUCACUCUGGCCUUGAAUGUGAAAUCCUCCCACUCGGCCUCUCAGGUGCUCCUUUACAGAUGUGGACCACUGUGCCGAGCUCAGAGUAGACAUUGCUAUUACAGUCUGUGGUCACCAGCCUGGAUAGUGACUCCCAGAGGCCGCCUCUCAUCUGUUGACACACUUUUUGUGCCCCCUGGCCACUGUUUCCUUUCUCCCCGCCUCGGGCCUGAAGGGGAUGGGGUGGGGGGAGGAUUUGCCACAGCAGGUAAAUGAGACAAUGUUACAGUUGUCUUCCGGGCCUGGCUUCUUUCACUUAGCAUACUAUUCACAGUCUUAUAGCAAAGGACAGGUUUGUUUGUGUGUUUUUUAAAAAAUAUUUGAGUGGGACUGUGGUUGCACGAGCCUUUACUCCCAGCACUUGGGAGGCAGGGGCAGGGGCAGAGGCAGGUGGAUCUCUGAGUUUGAGGUCAGCCUGGUCUACAGAGCAAGUUCCAGGACAGUCAGGGCUACACAGAAACUCUGUCCCCAUAAUCAAACCAAACCAAACCGCAAUCAACAAAAACAAAAAUAAAAUAAACAAAACGACUAAAGAAAUAUUUCUUUUAUGUAGUUAGGUGUAGCGGUUUGUGCACACAAGCGCAGGUGUCAGGGAGCCCAGAGGAGGCAUACAGAUGUCCUGUGUCCUGGAGAUGGAGAUCUGCAAACAGUCCUAAGCCUCAUGAUACGGGUGCUGAGAACCAAACUUGGGUCUUCUGCAACAUGAGAACGGGACAUGCUCUCAACCACUGAGCCAUCUCUCCAGCCCCUUUGCUGCUUCUUAUGGCUUCCUGGUACUAUUACAGAAUAAGACUUCAUUCAGCCACUGAGGGACACUGUACCUGACUUGGCAGCUGUGAACGGGGUGAGCUGGGGUGGCACAUCUCAUCGAUGCAGUUCCUGCUCUGUCCACUAGAGGGCAAAGAAAACCAGCGACCAGAGAACUUAGGAACCAGUCUUCAAGAAUGGAGCUGGGUAAGGUGGUCCACACCUAUCACCCCAGCACUCAGGAGGCUGAGACAGGAGGAUUAAUAGUUCAGGCCACACAGUAAGUCGCUGUCUUAAGAACAGAGGUAUCAAGGAGAAGGGAAAAAGAGAGAAAGAAGGAAAGGAGAUUCUGGGUGAAGCAGUUGGAAGAUGAGGGUCUAGUCCCAGGAUGAGGGGAGACCCACAGAAGCCCCUGCCACAGGGACACAGGAACACAGGGCUCAAGGGAAUGUACUCCCAGGGGAAAGCCAGACCAGCUUGAAGAGAAGAGGAAAUGGUGUUGGACCAUAAUGCAAAGUAAAAGAUACCCCGGACCAUCGUAGCAUGAAGGAUAAACAAAGAAAUAAAUAAGGCAGUCAAGACAAUCACCAUUCUGAAAGGGAUACAGGAUCCCUCCUCUGGGAGGCACCUCCCAAUGCCUGUCCUGUCAAUGUGGCUGUGCUUGGGGACUUCCCUCCAAAGAGCUCAGCACCAGCGGUUUUGAAAACUGUCAGUCUGCAGUGUGACCCCAUAACAUCCUGGGAUGAGAAGGGUGGUCUACGCCCCUGCCUUCCUCCCACACGGCCCACAGCUUCCACAGCUCCAAUUUAAUCUCAAGAGAAAUAGACAGGCUCCCAGCUGAGGCUUUGCUGGGUGUGGUAGCACACGCCUGUGAUUCCGGAGCUGUGUGUGUGUGUGUGUGUAUGUGUGUGUGUGUGUGUGUGCAAGGCAAGGGGAUCAGAAGUGCAAAGGCAUUCUCAGUGCAGAGCAAGUUCGAGGCCAGCCUGGAAGAGAUGGGGCCCUGUCUCAAAACAAACAGAACUUGGCACUAACUUGUUGUUGUUGUUGAUUUUGUUUUUGCUUUGAAAAUGUUAGCAUUUCCAAGCCACCAGGACACAGGCAUCCCCGACACCGUUCAUCUUCUCUUCAGCUCUUCUGCUAAACAAUUUGGCCUUCAGGAAGACAGAUCGCUUAGGGAACCUUCUGUUCCCCAGAACUUUGUAGUAGCCUGAUUGCACAACAUCAAGGAUGGGAGCAGCUUCAGUCUUUUUUGUUUGUUUGUUUGUGUUUGUUUUUGUUUUUUUGUUUUUUGUUUUUUCUUGCAGCAUUGACUCGUGUCUGCUCGCUAUCCGGUGUCCACAGUUUGACAGCUGGGCAGAAGCUCUGGUUCCCCUUCAAGUGGUGAUGCCUCAUCCCAAUCUUCCCAAAGUAACCUGCAUGGGAUUUGUCAAAAUUGUUCCGGUGGUGAUGCAGGCCUCUGGCAUUCCCCGGCCUCCUGGGUGCUUGCGGUAGUUACUGUGGCUGUGGCUCGUGUGGCCCCGGAGUUUCUGGGUGUUCCUCAUUUCAUUGCAUGGUGGCAGCAAAAUGGAAAGAGCUUUUUCUUUUCCUUUCUUUUUUUUAAUUUUAAAAUUUUAUUUAUUUAUUUAUUUAUUUUUGUUUUGUUUUGAGACAGGGUUUCUCUGCAUAUCCCUAGCUGUCCUGGAACUCAAUUUGUAGAUCAGGCUGGCCUCGAACUCAGAAAUCCGCCUGCCUCUGCCUCCCAAUGGUGGGAUUAAAGGCAUGUGCCACCAUUGCCUGGCUACCUGUUUUUUUAUUAACAUUAACUUUUUGCUUAUGUUUUCUGAGACAGGAUCCCACUUAGCCCAGGCUGGGUUUUAACUUUCGACAUAACUGUGAUUGGCCUUGAUGUGUUUUGUAAAGUCAACAAUAUGCUUUAAAGAGCGAGGUACGGUGCAGUGGGUUAGGGUACCUCAGCGGGCCCAUGCUAAGGCAACCUUCCCUGCAAGGUACCAGCCGUAGGUCUAGUAUAGCAUAGAGUUUAUUCUAUUGAAGGGGGGUUGAGAAGGGAGUAGAGACAGAGAAAGAGAGAGGGGAGAGAUAGAAUGAGAGAAAGAUAUGGAGCUGGAACAAAGAGACAAAGAGAAAACGCUGGCCAGGAACAUGGAGGGGGCAGGAGAGGGAGAAAAGAGUCAGAGAGAGCAAAGGGGGUCAGAGAGAGAAAGUCAGAAACUUUCCUUUCCUUUCUUUCUUUCCUUUUCUUUUCUUUUUUCUUUCUUUCUUUUUUUUAGGGUGUCUAUGACCAAGGCUAGCCUGCAACUCAUCAUGUAACCCAGGCCUGCCCCAAACUUGAAGCUUCUGCCUCCCAAGUACGGAGUCUAGAGAACGGCCACGCCUGGCUGCUGUCUAGGCUUCUGUGGGAGUUUGAGACGGAUGGAGUCAGGGGUGCAACUUACUGCGUGAGCAGUGAGUACCAGGGGGACAGAUGAACGUCCACAAACGCCUUAGCCUUUGGGAGCCGUGGGUACCCGGAGGAGCCCCGCACCCCGUCUGGAAGAACCAGAACGCAGAUCGAGCCUCCGGCUCUCACCAGGUGGCCACAGGAAAAGACAUGAAUCCCAAGUGUUGUGAUCAGACCGGUCCUUGUCUCCUGGAGCCUGAAAACCGGCCUCGGACACACACAGGAACUGGCCCGGUUGCCCGCAAGCAGCCUCUUUAGUUUCCUCUUUAGUAGCCGUUGGCCGUGAUCUCUGCUCACCCCAGUGCUGACCGGAGCUAUUCACGAUGCUUUAAACUAUUUUAAGCUGGGCAUGAUGGCACACACCUUUAACCUCAGCGCUCAGAAUGCAGAGGCAGGUGGAUCUCUGUGAAUUUGAGUCUAGCCCGAUCUACAUAGAGAGUUGCAGGGCAGCCAGGGCUACAUAGAGAGACCCUGUAUAGAAACAACAAAAAUAAAAAUGUGGGUUUGCUUACAUGUA